rnacentral:rRNA from 1 species
AUUGAACGCUGGCGGCACGCUUAACACAUGCAAGUCGAACGGCAGCAUGGUGUGUGCUUGCACACACUGAUGGCGAGUGGCGGACGGGUGAGUAAUGCGCAGGAAUAUGCCUUAAAGAGGGGGAUAACAUGGGGAAACUCAUGCUAAUACCGCAUGUGCUCUGAGGAGCGAAGCUGGGGACCGUUAGGCCUGGCGCUUUAAGAAUAGCCUGCGUCUGAUUAGCUAGUUGGUGGGGUAAAGGCCUACCAAGGCGAUGAUCGGUAGCUGGUCUGAGAGGAUGGACAGCCACACUGGGACUGAGACACGGCCCAGACUCCUACGGGAGGCAGCAGUGGGAAUAUUGGACAAUGGGGGGAACCCUGAUCCAGCGAUGCCGCGUGUGUGAAGAAGGCCUGAGGGUUGUAAAGCACUUUUAGUGGGGAGGAGGGCUUACAGGUUAAGAGCUAGUGAGUUGGACGUUACCCACAGAA